AAAAAAAGAAACUUCAGUUUUUCACUGCAUUUGUUUUCGUUCCUUUGGGGUCACAAACUUACAGUCUUUCAAGAAUGAUCUUCAGUGAUGGAGUGAUGACGCCUUGUUCGGAGUCAUUGCCAAGCUGCUAUUGGCAAACACCACGCUGACCUUUGCAUCUACUCAGCUUUACAGCAGCUGUACAGACAGUGGUAGCCUCUACCCCAGUGGGCUUGUACUGACCAUAUCUGCUGAUGCUGCGUGGGAAGCUGGCUGAAGAAGGAAUGUUGAAAGAGGACAUCUGUUUGGGCACCAAGGCCACUACACAUCGCUCAGACACCUGGGAGACAAAGGCCAGCAAGACUAUAAUGACGAUGAUGAGGAGCAGCCCUCCUCCAGCUGCGAUGCUGAAGAUAGCAGGAAGGGUGAGCAGGCUGUCAGACCGGAUGUGAACUUCUCCAGGGGAGAUGUGGAGUCCUCCUACUUGGACCU